rnacentral:rRNA from 1 species
CGGACGGGUGAGUAAUGUCUGGGAAACUGCCUGAUGGAGGGGGAUAACUACUGGAAACGGUAGCUAAUACCGCAUAACGUCGCAAGACCAAAGAGGGGGACCUUCGGGCCUCUUGCCAUCGGAUGUGCCCAGAUGGGAUUAGCUAGUAGGUGGGGUAACGGCUCACCUAGGCGACGAUCCCUAGCUGGUCUGAGAGGAUGACCAGCCACACUGGAACUGAGACACGGUCCAGACUCCUACGGGAG